rnacentral:rRNA from 1 species
UACGUAGGGUGCAAGCGUUGUCCGGAAUUAUUGGGCGUAAAGAGCUCGUAGGCGGUCUGUCACGUCGGCUGUGAAAACCCGGGACUCAACCCCGGGCCUGCAGUCGAUACGGGCAGACUAGAGUGUGGUAGGGGAGACUGGAAUUCCUGGUGUAGCGGUGAAAUGCGCAGAUAUCAGGAGGAACACCGGUGGCGAAGGCGGGUCUCUGGGCCGAUACUGACACUGAGGAGCGAAAGCGUGGGGAGCGAACAGG